UUUAAGACAGAGAACCGGUCGGAAUCAUAUGCUUUUCCCGGGAUUCACAUUUGUUGUGACCAUACGUUUCUGCAUUUGUGUGUCGUCGAAAAGACUUAUUUACAUGAUAAAAAUAUUAUUUUUUUAUUUUACUAUGUAUCUCAAUUGGAAUUUUUUUUUUAAUUUUGAGAGGACCCCUUGUUUUUCGUCAACUGUAAUAGUAAGUCUAAGUGUAAU
rnacentral:lncRNA from 1 species